rnacentral:rRNA from 1 species
AAUGAAGGCUGGCUGCAUGUCUAAGAGAUGCAAGUCGAACGAUGCCAUCUGUUCUUGUUUUUAGUGGAGUCGGGGCUCGUGGGAACUUGCCCGGAGGGUCGGUAUAACUCGCCGACGUGGGUCGUAAGACCGGGUCUUCUCUACUGACCAAAGUUUUAUCGCCUUUGGAUGGGCCCGCGUUGUAUUAGCUAGUUGGUAGGGUAAAAGCCUACCAAGGCGACGUUCGAUAGCUGGUCUGAGAGGAGGAUCAGCCACACUGGGACUGAGACACGGCCCAGGCUCCUACGGGAGGCAGCAGUGGGGAAUAUUGGACAAUGGGCGAAAGCCUGAUCCAGCAAUGCCGCGUGAGUGAUGAAGGCCUUAGGGUUGUAAAGCUCUUUUACACGGGAUGAUAAUGACAGUACCGGGAGAAUAAGCUCCGGCUAACUCCGUG